ACACUCACUGCUGCUGGCUAGUGCAUGUGACACUCACUGCUGCUGUGUGUAGUGUAUGUGGCACUGUUACUGCUGCUGGCUAGUGCAUGUGGCACUUACUGCUGCUGUGUAUAGUGCAUGUGGCACUCACUGCUGCUGUGUAUAGUGCAUGUGGCACUCACUGCUGUAGUGCAUGUGACACUCACUGCUGCUGGCUAGUGCAUGUGGCACUCACUGCUGCUGUGUAUAGUGUAUGUGGCACUGUUACUGCUGCUGGCUAGUGCAUGUGGCACUCACUGCUGCUGUGUAUAGUGCAUGUGGCACUCACUGCUGCUGUGUAUAGUGCAUGUGGCACUCACUGCUGCUGUGUAUAGUGCAUGUGGCACUGUUACUGCUGCUGGCUAGUGCAUGUGGCACUCACUGCUGCUGUGUAUAGUGUAUGUGGCACUCACUGCUGCUGUGUAUAGUGCAUGCGGCACUCACUGCUGCUGUGUAUAGUGCAUGUGGCACUCACUGCUGCUGGCUAGUGCAUGUGGCACUCACUGCUGCUGUGUAUAGUGCAUGUGGCACUCACUGCUGCUGGCUAGUGCAUGUGGCACUGUUACUGCUGCUGGCUAGUGCAUGUGGCACUGUUACUGCUGCUGGCUAGUGCAUGUGGCACUCACUGCUGCUGGCUAGUGCAUGUGGCACUCACUGCUGCUGGCUAGUGCAUGUGGCACUGUUACUGCUGCUGGCUAGUGCAUGUGGCACUGUUACUGCUGCUGGCUAGUGCAUGUGGCACUCACUGCUGCUGGCUAGUGCAUGUGGCACUCACUGCUGCUGUGUAUAUGCUCCACUAUACACAGUCAGUCAGUCCAGUAACUCAAAUGAUUAUUAUUUAUAUCAAAGUAGUAAGUACUUGAGGACUCACACUUUUGUGAUAGUAAUGUAUAUUUAAAUGUGGAUAUUGUAAAAGUAAAUGUUGAUAUAUCUUCACAGUUCUUGUGUUAUUUAUAUAAUAUAUAUAUAUAUAUAUUAUAAUUUUACCAGUUUUCAUACUGGUAUACAUGGCAACAAAAAUUAAUAUAAUUUUUAUUGUUAAGCUUACCAGAAUUAAAGCAUUGUGUGUAGGGUCUUGUACCAGAAUACUUGCACAAAGGUUGUGGAAGGGAGAACAUAAGGUUAAUAGUAAGAAAAAAGUGGACUGAAUACAAAUGUAAUACAGUAGUACAUGGAUUGUAGUUCUUUAGAGGAAGACAUUUUGCCCCCAUUCCUGCAUGAUACAUUUCCUGCAAGACAAUUUAGCUUUUUGGAUGUAGUCAACUGGUAGCAAGGGUGGAGAGAGACGCCCCACGAGAGCCUCGUGUGGGCGUCUCUCUUCACGUGUCCAGCUCUAUCCUUGUAUACAGUGCAUGACACGGUAAUUUAUGUAAAUAGUAUAGUGGUAGUCUGUCCUUAGUUUGAGGUGUUGACAAAACACUUCAUCAUUUACCCUUACACUCUCUGAACAUUCCAGAUAUUUGUUUUGGUUAGUAUCAGCAUCUUGCUGUGUAUUAUAUUAAUUUAUGUAUAAUAUGUACAGUUAUGUUUAAAAUAAAAGGUGUUAUGGAAAAACAAA
rnacentral:lncRNA from 1 species